AGAAAAUUUUCCGUUCCUGCGUUCCAAACUGCGUCCGCUUUGUACGCAAGACAAGACUCACGCAUGCGCGCCGCUCCGCCGUCCUCCCAGCAUGAGCGACCCCGCCUCGGCGGCCGCCGCCUUGCGCCACUGGAACCGCCUGAUCCAGCUCGCCGCCGCAAAGGGCUCCUACGCCGACUGCCUCCGCCUCUAUGCCGGCUCCCUCCUCGCCACGGGCCUCCGCGGGGACGCCUCCACUUUCCCUUCCCUCACCAAGUCAUGCGCCGCGCUGCGUCUGCCCCGCCUCGGCCGCGCCAUCCACGCCCGCGCCUACCUCGCGGGCGCCACCGUCUCUUGCGACGCCUUCGUCCGGACCUCGCUGGUGGACAUGUACGCCAAGUGCGGCUACCUCCCCGACGCGCGCCGCCUGUUCGACGAAACGCCGCGCCGGACGCUGGUUGCCUGGAACUGUAUGGUCUCGGCGUACGGCAGGAGCUCUCAGGUCGACGAGGCCGUCGCGAUGUUCAACGCGAUGCGACACGCGGGGGUGAGGCCCAGCGGGAGCACGCUCGUUGGCGUUCUGUCGGGGUGCGCGGACUCUGUGUCGGCGAGGAGUCUUGGCGUGUGCAUCUACGGAUACAGCGUGAAAUCGGGGCUUGACGCAGAUUUGCUGGUCUCGAACUCGGUGCUCACCAUGCUUGUCCGUGCUGGCCAGACGGACGUGGCCAGGUCCCUGUUUGAUCGUGUGGAGAAGAAGUCCGUUGUUACUUGGAGUGCAAUGGCAUCGGGUUAUCUACAAAUGAGGGACUUCGUGGAAGUGUUUGAACUGUUCAGCCGCAUGCGGAGGACAGAGCAAAAUAUGGAUUCAGUGGUGCUUGUCAAUCUGAUCACAGCUGCUGUGCUGUUUGGAAACUUGUUAGUGGCUAAAGGUGUGCAUGCUCUUGUGACCAAGUGUGGGUUUGAAUGUCAGGAGGAUCUGGCGGCAUCCUUGGUUAACUUGUAUGGAAAGUGUGGAGAUCUUUUGGCUGCUAGAGAGGUCUUUGAUUCAGUUCACAGCAAGAAUGUAGUGUUGUGGACUUCGAUGCUAAAUGUAUAUGUUGAAUGUGGUUAUCCGGAUAAGGCUCUGGCAAUGUUUGACGCCAUGUUGCAUUCAAAUGUAGAGCCAAAUAAAGCAACUGUAAUAGCAGUUCUUGCAGCAUGUGCUGAUUUGGGAUCUGCUAAUCUUGGCGAAACAGUUUAUGAGUACGUGAUAGCAAUGGGACUGCAGUCAGACCUACAAGUUUCCACUGAAUUUAUAGACAUGUAUUGCAAGUGUGGGAGAAUUCAGCGUGCUAGAAAAUUAUUUAAUGGUGUCACCAAUAGAGACUUGACUGUCUGGAGUGCCAUGAUUAAUGGAUAUGCCUGCAAUGGAGAAGGCAGUGAGGCUGUUGUCCUUUUCAAUCAGAUGCAAAAUGAAGGUGUUCGACCAGAUGCCAUUGUCUACACUCAUGUUUUAACAGCGUGCAACCAUUCUGGUUUAAUCGAUGAAGGUCUUCACUGCUUUCAUAGCAUGACGGUUGAAUAUGGUAUUGAACCAUCUAUCGAACAUUAUAUGUGCAUGGUUGAUUUGCUUUGUAAAGCUGGUCAUCUUAGUAGUGCUAUAAAGUUCUUUAAGCAGAUGCCAGUUCAAAUGCGAAAAAAGGUUUUGGCUCCUCUUAUUAGCGCACACAGUGCUCAUUGUGCCGAUUCAUCCAAAGAGUUUGUCUCAGAGGAACUACUGAACCUGGACUCCCAAAAUUCUGGUCACUGUGUCCUAAUAUCUAAUAUGCUUAGUUGUUUAGGGAAGUGGAAGAAGGCCAGAAGCCAUAGAAUGCUAAUAAGCAAGCAAGGAUUAGUCAAGGAACCUGGAUGGAGUUGCAUUGAGCUGGGUGGCUAACUACUAGAUGCUGUAGAACACUUGAUUCACAUCAUGUUCGAAUCCUCAUUAAGCCUCGACCCAAAUCGCUAUUUGAGGCUUAGUGAGGAUCAGCUUUAAGGCCCUCUUCCAUGUCAGUUACUGAUGGCUAUAAUCUUGUAAACGGAACACUGCAGAAAACAUUUCCAGAGGGUGCAGUUUUGUAUAUGAGUUGAUGAGAUUGACUUCGCUUCAGGCUUUGCAUUUGAUGAUAAUUGGACAUGUGAACGAAGAACCGAAGUGUGUCGCUGUUGUGGUUGAAGGCGACACCAAUCUACUCGAGUUUUACGAGUGUUGCGCGGGUAGUAUAAGGCAAACCCCGUAGCAUCAAGGCAAGCAUCUAAGUAUACUUCUCACGUUAAUUUGGAUUAUAUAUGUCUAAUGUGAUAAAUAUGCUUUAUAUACGUUAUGCAUGCGUUCGAGUCGAUGUCGGGUUUAUGAUGGGUAGAACCUAUGUUGAUGCACUAAUUCUCCUGUCAUGAAUAAUUGCUGAUCUGUAUCCUUGUAGCCUAGGUUUAAUAUGAUAUUGUCUAACUUAAAAUAUUAUUCGUGAUGCUUAGCCUAGGUUUAAUAUGAUAUUGUCUAACUUAAAAUAUUAUUCGUGAUGCUUACCAAGUGCUUAGGUCUUUGGUAGAAGUCGA